UCGUAAGGCUCAACAGUAUGGGCCCCCUCUCGGGAAACCUUGAGGAGUGCACUUGCCAAAUUCGGAGAAAUCCUCUCUUGAAAAAGAAGGACAAUUCCGAGCUAAAUUCUUCAAUAAAAUUGGAGAUAAAUGUGUAGAGACUAGAUGGCAGGCUCCUUAAUCCUUAAAUUAUUUUAAAGAAAGGAGAUGGUAUAGUCCAGACCACAAACGCU
rfam:Parcubacteria (Nomurabacteria) bacterium GW2011_GWC2_35_8 TR91_C0042, whole genome shotgun sequence.